UCUACCUUCUGAGGAACUUUCAUGCCAUUUAUUUGGUGUGGUUGGAAAUCAGGACUGUUACUUUGAAAAAAUUAGAGUGUUUAAAGCAGGCUAACGUCUGAAUACAUUAGCAUGGAAUAAUGAAAUAGGACGGAUUGAUUCUAUUUCGUUGGUUUCUAGGGUCACCGUAAUGAUUAAUAGGGAUAGUUGG
rnacentral:rRNA from 1 species